rnacentral:misc_RNA from 1 species
GAUGAAGAACGCAGCGAAAUGCGAUACUUGGUGUGAAUUGCAGAAUCCCGUGAACCAUCGAGUCUUUGAACGCAAGUUGCGCCCGAAGCCAUUAGGCCGAGGGCACGCCUGCCUGGGCGUCACACGUCGUUGCCCCCCCAUCUACUCCUUCGGGAUUGCGGGGGGCGGAUGAUGGCCUCCCGUGCGCCUCGUCGCGCGGUUGGCAUAAAUGCCAAGUCCUCGGCGACGCACGCCACGACAAUCGGUGGUUGCGAAACCUCGGUUGCCCGUCGUGUGCGGUCGUCGCGCAUCGAGGGCUCGAAAAAAUUGCCGGGCUCCGGCUCGGCUUUCAACGCGACCCCAGGUCAGGCGGGGUUACCCGCUGAAUUUAAGCAUAUCAAUAAGCGGAGGG